UACGAAGGGGGCUAGCGUUGCUCGGAAUUACUGGGCGUAAAGCGCACGUAGGCGGUCUUUAAGUCGGGGGUGAAAUCCUGGAGCUCAACUCCAGAACUGCCUUCGAUACUGGAAGACUUGAGUCCGGGAGGAGGUGAGUGGAACUGCGAGUGUAGAGGUGAAAUUCGUAGAUAUUCGCAAGAACACCAGUGGCGAAGGCGGACUCACUGGCCCGGUACUGACC
rnacentral:rRNA from 1 species